rnacentral:lncRNA from 1 species
AGAGAGAGAGAGAGAGAGAGAGGAGGAGAGAACUCAAAUCCAUACACAGCCAGAGCAGUAAAUGGGAGUGAUUUUUGUUACUUAUUCAGUGCAUUCUUAUCCGGACUUGGGCUGGAAUUGCUCUCAGAUCUGAAGAAUAAAAGUUUGUUCUGAAUUCUCUUUCUCCUCUUCACUUCAGAUACAGCCCAGCAUUCCAGCUUGUUGAUUCCAGAACUGGUAUGGCUCAAUCUUCUUUUAUUACCCUUCUCAAGCCAGUUCACCUAAGCACAAGCACACAUCAUCAGCAAUAUGCAAAAAGAAAAUGUUAGACUAAUUGGUCAACUUAAGAAUUUAUUUAUUUAUUAUUAUUAUUAUUUUUUUAUUUUUUUUGAAAGGUAAUUGCUCAACUUAAGAAUUCAUCCACG